rnacentral:rRNA from 1 species
ACGUACACUCCUACGGGAGGCAGCAGUGGGGAAUAUUGCACAAUGGGCGCAAGCCUGAUGCAGCCAUGCCGCGUGUAUGAAGAAGGCCUUCGGGUUGUAAAGUACUUUCAGCGGGGAGGAAGGCGAUAAGGUUAAUAACCUUGUCGAUUGACGUUACCCGCAGAAGAAGCACCGGCUAACUCCGUGCCAGCAGCCGCGGUAAUACGGAGGGUGCAAGCGUUAAUCGGAAUUACUGGGCGUAAAGCGCACGCAGGCGGUCUGUCAAGUCGGAUGUGAAAUCCCCGGGCUCAACCUGGGAACUGCAUUCGAAACUGGCAGGCUAGAGUCUUGUAGAGGGGGGUAGAAUUCCAGGUGUAGCGGUGAAAUGCGUAGAGAUCUGGAGGAAUACCGGUGGCGAAGGCGGCCCCCUGGACAAAGACUGACGCUCAGGUGCGAAAGCGUGGGGAGCAAACAGGAUUAGAUACCCGAGUAGUCCCA